ACAAUAAGUAAGUAAAACAACAAUUAGUUAAUAUGUUAAAAAAAUAUCAAUUUCUAACACUGCAAGUAACAAUAGUUACAACUGUUGUGAAUUUCUAUUUUUAAUGUUGGUUGCGACGGUUUCAACUAUCGUGACUGUGAAGACUGUAAUUUUAAUUAUUAAUUCUAAAUAUAAUUAUUUGAUAUGAUUAUUAUUAGUUAUUUAAAUUUUACUUUUAACAACAGUUUAAA
rnacentral:lncRNA from 1 species